UAUGUAGGGUGCGAGCGUUGUCCGGAAUUAUUGGGCGUAAAGGGCUCGUAGGCGGUCUGUUGCGUCGGGAGUGAAAACUUACAGCUUAACUGUGAGCGUGCUUCCGAUACGGGCAGACUUGAGGUAUUCAGGGGAGAACGGAAUUCCUGGUGUAGCGGUGAAAUGCGCAGAUAUCAGGAGGAACACCGGUGGCGAAGGCGGUUCUCUGGGAAUAUCCUGACGCUGAGGAGCGAAAGUGUGGGGAGCGAACAGG
rnacentral:rRNA from 1 species